rnacentral:snoRNA from 1 species
AGUGUUAAUGAUGUAAAAUGCUGCUAAAGCUUAACUUACUGUGUCGAAAACAACCUUGGAGAACUGAGCACUCU